rnacentral:lncRNA from 1 species
UGUCUCCCCAAAGCUAUUUAAAAUGUCUAAACUCUGCCGUGGAGUGUGGACGAUGAACUUUGGGCCUUUGGCAUUUGGCAAACGAACCUUAAGUUCUUGCCUCUCGAAAGUUGGAGCCGGAGGAUGGUGCCACGGUGGUGACGGUGCCUCAUGACUCAGGUGGUCGGUGGACCGUAAACGGAGGAGCCAAGGACGACGAGUCGGCGAGGAGCGGAGGACGGAGGAGGCGAGGAGCCGAGGACGGCGAGAAGCAGAGGAUGGAGGAGCCGAGGAUGGCGAUGUCAGCGAGUCGGCGAGGAGCAGAGGCCGGAGGAGCUGAGCUGCCGAGGAGGCGAGGAGCCGAGGAGGAUUAGAGCGGAGCUGCGAAGGCCGGAGGAGCCGGGGAGAGCUAGAGAAGACAGAGGAGGUCCGGACUCCGGUCUCCGGACUUCGGAGCAGGGGCAGCCGGCGGCCCAAGAACUGAAGAAGCCAUCGACGGUCGAGUCGUCGAGAAACUGGAGAAGAAUCGGAGUCUGGGGCCUGGCCGAGAAGGUUCAGAAAAAAAAAGCACUGGGAGAGAAGAGGAGGGAGAGAACUCAGAGAAGAAAAGAGGGGAGGAAAUCAGGAAAUGUCCGUUGCCGUUGGUUGUCCUUGUCGUAGGCUCGUAGCUCACCAGUCAUGGUGUCACCUAUAGCCGUAGCUCUUCUCGCUGAGUCGCUGUCCGUCGACGGGAACCCACUAUAGCGGUGUAGCCAGGCGGCAGGCGGGACAGACAUCCUCCAUGGCUCCAUUCCUCCUACAAGCUACAGUCCUGCUCCUAGCUGGCUAGCUUUCGGAUGUGAAGGCAU